UUUAAUUUUUUUAUUUUUUCGUUGAUUUUCUUUGUUUUAUUUCUAUUUUUAUGGUUUUUAGUUUUUUUUCCUUUUUGGUUAAAUUCUACAUGUUUUUAUACAUCAUGAAUAUUUUUAUACACACAUUUUCUUGAAACAUGAUUAAAAAUUUUGCAAAUAUUUUUUUAUGUCUACUUUUUUGUGUACACAGUGUACAAUUUUUAGUAUACACCCGAAAUAUUUUAUAUAUACAUGUUUAACAUUUUUUAAAUAUAUGAUUAACAUUUUUUAAACACAUAUUUUUUUAAAGAUGGUCCCUUAAGGUCUGAUUCAUUAAUUAAGAUAUAAGAGAAUUGUCUGGUUAAUUAAUGGAAACCCGGGAAAAAACCGUUAUAACACGUCCCUAACAGGGCACCACGCGGCCUCGGCUCCGUCACCCCAGCAAUCCACAGCCGAAACCCUACAACCAAACCUGAAGCCGCCACUCCGGCAUCCUCGCCGACCAGGAGGCCGAGCACCAGGCGAGCCGCCUCCCCCACCGCCCAAGCAACCGGAGGUGACACCCUACAACUAUCUCCGGAGCCGCCGCUCCGACGUACAGACGGUGACCAAACACGCCGACCCCAUGGUCGCGCACCAGGUGAGGCGCCAACUUCAUCACCCGAGCAAUCGAAGCCGACACCCAACAACCAUGUCUGAAGCCACCGCUCUGGCAUCCACGUCGACCCCGUGGCCGCGCACCCGUCUGGCCAACGAUACCGUCACCCAUGUGACCAAAGCCGAGACCUCUUCAUGACGAUGAUAUUCGAAGCAGCCGCUCCGACUUCCAUGCGGGCCCCGAGGCCGCACACCACCCGAGCCGAUGGUUCACCACUGCAAGACAAUGCCUUCAAGAAGGACCGCGAUACCGAAACUCCACCAUGAUCGUAGGCCCUGAGACGAUGACGCCUUCAAGAAGGUAUGUGGCGCCCACAAGAGUCGCCGUCGUCGGCUCCGCCCAAGGCCAGAGCAAGGCUUCCGCCUCAAGCAGCCAAGAAGCCCUCCCCUCGAACCGGUGCACUAGAACCAACCACCACCUACCACCAGAGCUAGGAGCCACCAUCCAGAAUUCUCAUGCCGACGCCACCUGCACCGCGCAGAGCCACCAACAUGACCAUCCCAUCACCACUUCAGGGUCCAGAUCUGGGCACGUCUCGCCAGAUUCGUCACCCACGCAUGAGUUGCAGCAAACCCACCGGUGCCAAGCGUCCCUGGUGUGGCCGAGGGCCGAUGCACCGCCGAUGAGGACCGACGCCUCCGAGUUCCAGCCAUGGCACUGCCCACACAGCCAUCACGGCGUCGUCCUGAAAAAGAGGCCCGGGGCCGCUGCCCCGGCGUCCGAACACCACGCGCAACCAGCGAGAAUGCCCCUGCUGCAAAGCCACCGCCGCUCCUCAAUUCUGCGAUACAUCACCUCGGAUCCAUGACACGCCGCAUCACCCCAUCUUGUGCAUGCCCGCCGCGCCUCACAGCACGCCCACGCAGCACCACUGCCUCGUCCGUGCUAUAGGAGUCCGCCGCGAGCCCGCCAUCGCCUUGUCCCCCUCGUGGGCCAGCGGAUCCGCGCCGGAGCCGCGCCCGCUCGCUGCUGCGCGCCAGAUCUGUGCCAAGGCCACCUCCGCCCACGCCCUCCGCGCACAAGCCACCUCCACGCGCGCCCGCCACGCCUAGUCGACGCGAACCCGCCUUGGCUCGCCGUCAGCUCCUACCAGGACCCGACACAUCGCCGUGGCAGAUCUGCCCGCGCACCUCCAAGAUGGACGCCCCGCCGCCACCCUCCCUGGAGGCCGACCGGGCUUUGCCGGCGGGCUCCUCAGGCGGCGGCAAGGUGAGGGGGACGGUGGGGUGGGGGCGGUGGCGGCGCCGGAGUGGCUCCCCCGUGUCGCCAGGAAAGACACAUUUUUAUGUCUACAUGUUUCCUACAUAUUUUGUAUACAUCCGCAACAUUUCUUAUAGUAUGUAUGUUUCCAUCAGCACACAUGAGUGGACGUUCGAAUUUGAAAAAAUCCCAUGUGCAAAACACGCAUGGGCCGGGCGUGCCAACUAGACCAUUAUAAGCCUAGAGCGGUCCAGCCCACUUAAGAACGUGCCCUCUUCUUCUGCGGCUUCGCCUCUGUCCCCGAGCGACGGCGUAGGCACACCGGCACCUCGGACGCCAACUCAUUGGCACCUCGGCGCCGAACACGCCCCUCAGCUUUCCAAAGGGCGAACCAUUUCCUCCAGCCUGCAAAUGGAAUCAAAGUUUUUCCGAUUUCUAAAGCUCGUUGGAGUUGGCUUCAAAGCAAGGACAGAGUGUGAAGGCCGGGAGCUGUUCCUGAAGCUGGGCUACAGCCAUGAGGUGCAGUUCACCGCUCCACCCGCUGUCCGCGUCUUCUGCUUCAAGCCCAACAUUGUGUGCUGCACCGGCUUGGACAAGGACAGAGUGCACCACUUCGCCGGCGCCGGCCGAAACUGCAAACCGCCGGAGGUGUACAAGGGUAAGGGUAUAUUGUACAUCAAUGAAGUGAUGAAGCGCAAGUGAUGAAUGGAACACAAUAAUCCCCUUUUCCGUUUCUCUGGAGUUCUGAUUUUGCUGUGUUGAAAUUCCUAUCAUGUUGCUUCAGUAGCGGCGCAGAACUGCUGAUGUUGAUGGGGUUUGCUUGUGCUAAGGCAAUUCAUAUAUAAUUUGUCCGCUGUUACCACACUGGAGGCUUUACAUUUCCAUCCACAUAAUGAAAGCGCCGGAUUCAGCUUUUUCAA